CCUACGGGAGGCAGCAGUAGGGAAUAUUGCUCAAUGGGGGAAACCCUGAAGCAGCAACGCCGCGUGGAGGAUGAAGGUUUUCGGAUUGUAAACUCCUUUUGUUAGAGAAGAUAAUGACGGUAUCUAACGAAUAAGCACCGGCUAACUCCGUGACAGCAGCCGCGGUAAUACGGAGGGUGCAAGCGUUACUCGGAAUCACUGGGCGUACAGAGCGCGUAGGCGGGAUAGCAAGUCAGAUGUGAAAUCCUAUGGCUUAACCAUAGAACUGCAUUUGAAACUGUGAUUCUAGAGUAUGGGAGAGGUAGGUGGGAUUCUAGGUGUAGGGGUAAAUUCCGUAGAGAUAAAGAGGAAUACUCAGUGCGAAGGCGACCUGCUAGAACAUAACUGACGCUGAUGCGCGAAAGCGUGGGGAGCAAACAGGAUUAGAUACCCCUGUAGUC
rnacentral:rRNA from 1 species